GAUGAACGCUGGCGGCGUGCCUAAUACAUGCAAGUCGAGCGAACGGACGAGAAGCUUGCUUCUCUGCUGUUAGCGGCGGACGGGUGAGUAACACGUGGAUAACCUACCUAUAAGACUGGGAUAACUUCGGGAAACCGGAGAUAAUACCGGAUAAUAUUUUGAACCGCAUGGUUCAUAAGUGAAAGACGGUCUUGCUGUCACUUAUAGAUGGAUCCGCGCUGCAUUAGCUAGUUGGUAAGGUAACGGCUUACCAAGGCAACGAUGCAUAGCCGACCUGAGAGGGUGAUCGGCCACACUGGAACUGAGACACGGUCCAGACUCCUACGGGAGGCAGCAGUAGGGAAUCUUCCGCAAUGGGCGAAAGCCUGACGGAGCAACGCCGCGUGAGUGAUGAAGGUCUUCGGAUCGUAAAACUCUGUUAUUAGGGAAGAACAUAUGUGUAAGUAACUGUGCACAUCUUGACGGUACCUAAUCAGAAAGCCACGGCUAACUACGUG
rnacentral:rRNA from 1 species